GUGAGAGGUAGAUUCUUGACUUGCCGGGGUGACUUGCGGGUUGCUUCAGUGAGUCAUUGUGGUUUGAGCAAUGAGAACUUUAUGCCCUAAACUUGACCCUUCUCCGUUUGCCGUCUUCCCUACAUCACCCCAGAUGUGAAGACAUGAACUUAGGGACUGAGACGGUGCCAAGCCAAGACUCUACGGAAGCCACUGGGCCCGACAAAGACAAGGAGCAUAACAAAAAGACAUCAGUGGGACAUCAAAUGGCUACAUAACCAGGACCAUCACAGCCAGUGUCAUCAUUAAAGGACUCACAACUUGUGGUUUAUCGUGACAAGUUUCUUCAUAACAUGUCUGAUCAAGAGACACAGUCGACACUGAGAGAGGCAUAACAAUGGAUAACACAAACUUGGGUCUACUUGUCCUAAAAUAAACCUCAUCACCAGAAACCAUGAGCUAAUUAAAAGUACAGCUAAGAUGCCAAUUUAGAAACGAUAUCCCGUGGGCUAAGGCUCUUUUCAAGAUGAAGCCAAGCAUAUAAUGAGGGAUAGAUGACACAGGGG
rnacentral:lncRNA from 1 species